CAAGGGGGUCAUCCCGACUUACCAACCCGAUGCAAACUGCGAAUACCGGAGAAUGUUAUCACGGGAGACACACGGCGGGUGCUAACGUCCGUCGUGAAGAGGGAAACAACCCAGACCGCCAGCUAAGGUCCCAAAGUCAUGGUUAAGUGGGAAACGAUGUGGGAAGGCCCAGACAGCCAGGAUGUUGGCUUAGAAGCAGCCAUCAUUUAAAGAAAGCGUAAUAGCUCACUGGUCGAGUCGGCCUGCGCGGAAGAUGUAACGGGGCUAAACCAUGCACCGAAGCUGCGGCAGCGACGCUUAUGCGUUGUUGGGUAGGGGAGCGUUCUGUAAGCCUGUGAAGGUGUGCUGUGAGGCAUGCUGGAGGUAUCAGAAGUGCGAAUGCUGACAUAAGUAACGAUAAAGCGGGUGAAAAGCCCGCUCGCCGGAAGACCAAGGGUUCCUGUCCAACGUUAAUCGGGGCAGGGUGAGUCGACCCCUAAGGCGAGGCCGAAAGGCGUAGUCGAUGGGAAACAGGUUAAUAUUCCUGUACU
rnacentral:rRNA from 1 species